rnacentral:rRNA from 1 species
UGAGGAAUUUUGGUCAAUGGGCGAGAGCCUGCACCAGCCAAGUCGCGUGAAGGAAGACAGUCCUAAGGUUUGUAAACUUCUUUUACAUGGGAAUAACGGGCGAUACGAGUAUUGCAUUGAAUGUCCCGUAAGAAUCAGCAUCGGCUAAUUCCGUGCCAGCAGCCGCGGUAUUACGGAGGAUGCGAGCGUUAACCGGAUUUAUUGGGUUUAAAGGGUGCGUGGGUUGUUCGGUAAGUCAGAGGUAAAACCUGAGCGCUCAACGUUCAGCCUGCCGUUGAAACGGCCGGGCUUGAGUUCAGUGGCGGCAGGCGGAAUUCGUGGUGUAGCGGUGAAAUGCAUAGAUAUCACGAGGAACUCCGAUUGCGAAGGCAGCUUGCCAUACUGCGACUGACACUGAAGCACGAAGGCGUGGGUAUCAAACAGG